rnacentral:rRNA from 1 species
AUCAACGCUGGCGGCGUGCCUAACACAUGCAAGUCGAACGAGAAAGUGGAGCAAUCCAUGAGUACAGUGGCGACCGGGUGAGUAACACGUGACCAACCUGCCCUCGAGUGGGGAAUAACUCCGGGAAACCGGAGCUAAUACCGCAUAACAUCUUCGGUUCGCCGGAACUGAAGAUCAAAGCAGCAAUGCGCUGGAGGAGGGGGUCGCGGCUGAUUAGCUAGUUGGCAGGGUAAUGGCCUACCAAGGCAAAGAUCGGUAUCCGGCCUGAGAGGGCGCACGGACACACUGGAACUGAAACACGGUCCAGACUCCUACGGGAGGCAGCAGUGGGGAAUUUUGCGCAAUGGGGGAAACCCUGACGCAGCAACGCCGCGUGGAGGAUGAAGUCCCUUGGGACGUAAACUCCUUUCGACCCGGACGAUACUGACGGUACGGGUGGAAGAAGCACCGGCUAACUACUGUGCCAGCAGCCGCGGUAAUACAGUAGGGUGCGAGCGUUGAUCGGAAUUACUGGGCGUAAAGCGUGCGCGUAGGCGGUGCGUGUAAGUCACCUGUGAAAUCCUCCUGGCUUCAACUUGGGAGAUGCAGUGGAACUGCGUGCUGGAGUGUGGCAGAGGUGCGUGGAAUUCCCGGUGUAGCGGUGAAGUGCGUAGAUAUCGUGGAGGAACACCGAUGGCGAAGCGGCGCCCUGGCCAACAACUGACGCUCGAGGCGCGAAAGCGUGGGGAGCAAACAGGAUUAGAUACCCUGGUAGUCCACGCCCUAAACGAUGAUCACUGGGUGUUGGGGAAGCGAUUCCUUGGUACCGUAGCUAACGCGUGAAGUGAUCCGCCUGGGGAGUACGGCCGCAAGGUUAAAACUCAAAGGAAUUGACGGGGACCCGCACAAGCGGUGGAUGAUGUGGAUUAAUUCGAUGCAACGCGAACAACCUUACCUACCCUUGACAUGUCUGGAAGCCUCUCGAGAGGGGGUGUGCCCGAAAGGGAACCGGAACACAGGUGCUGCAUGGCUGUCGUCAGCUCGUGUCGUGAGAUGUUGGGUUAAGUCCCGCAACGAUGCGCAACCCUUGUCCCUAGUUGCUACGCAAGGGCACUCUAGGGAGACUGCCGGUGACAAACCGGAGGAAGGUGGGGAUGACGUCAAGUCCUCAUGGCCCUUAUGGGUAGGGCUUCACACGUCAUACAAUGGCCGGUACAGAGGGUAGCCAACCCGCGAGGGGGAGCCAAUCCCUAGGAAAGCCGGUCGUAGUCCGAAUUGCAGUCUGCAACUCGACUGCAUGAAGUCGGAAUCGCUAGUAAUCGCGGAUCAGCAUGCCGCGGUGGAUACGUUCCCGGGUCUUGUACACACCGCCCGUCACACCAUGGGAGUGGGGUGUACCUAAAGUCGGUAACCGUAAGGAGCCGCCUAGGGUAAAACUGGUAACUGGGGCUAAGUCGUA